GACGACGUGCGAACGUUAUUCGGAAUCACUGGGCUUAAAGCGCGUGUAGGCGGGUCGGCGCGUCGGACGCUGAAAUCCCCCGGCUCAACCGGGGAAGGGGCGCCGAUACGGCCGGCCUGGAGGGACGUAGGGGGGGCUGGAACUUCCGGUGGAGCGGUGAAAUGCGUUGAGAUCGGAAGGAACGCCCGUGGCGAAAGCGAGCCCCUGGACGUCUACUGACGCUGAGACGCGAAAGCCAGGGGGAGCGAACGGG
rnacentral:rRNA from 1 species